rnacentral:rRNA from 1 species
ACUGAGAGGUUGAACGGCCACAUUGGGACUGAGACACGGCCCAGACUCUUACGGGAGGCAGCAGUGGGGAAUAUGCACAAUGGGGGAAACCCUGAUGCAGCGACGCCGCGUGGAGGAAGAAGGUCUUCGGAUUGUAAACUCCUGUUGUUGGGGAAGAUAAUGACGGUACCCAACAAGGAAGUGACGGCUAACUACGUGCCAGCAGCCGCGGUAAAACGUAGGUCACAAGCGUUGUCCGGAAUUACUGGGUGUAAAGGGAGCGCAGGCGGGAAGACAAGUUGGAAGUGAAAUCUAUGGGCUCAACCCAUAAACUGCUUUCAAAACUGUUUUUCUUGAGUAGUGCAGAGGUAGGCGGAGUUCCCGGUGUAGCGGUGGAAUGCGUAGAUAUCGGAAGGAACACCAGUGGCGAAGGCGGCCUACUGGGCACCAACUGACGCUGAGGCUCGAAAGUGUGGGUAGCAAACAGGAUUAGAUACCCUGGUAGUCCACACCGUAAACGAUGAUUACUAGGUGUUGGAGGAUUGACCCCUUCAGUGCCGCAGUUAACACAAUAAGUAAUCCACCUGGGGAGUACGACCGCAAGGUUGAAACUCAAAGGAAUUGACGGGGGCCCGCACAAGCAGUGGAGUAUGUGGUUUAAUUCGACGCAACGCGAAGAACCUUACCAAGUCUUGACAUCCCUUGACAGGCAUAGAAAUAUGUUUUCUCUUCGGAGCAAGGAGACAGGUGGUGCAUGGUUGUCGUCAGCUCGUGUCGUGAGAUGUUGGGUUAAGUCCCGCAACGAGCGCAACCCUUAUGGUCAGUUACUACGCAAGAGGACUCUGGCCAGACUGCCGUUGACAAAACGGAGGAAGGUGGGGAUGACGUCAAAUCAUCAUGCCCUUUAUGACUUGGGCUACACACGUACUACAAUGGCGUUAAACAAAGAGAAGCAAGACCGCGAGGUGGAGCAAAACUCAGAAACAACGUCCCAGUUCGGACUGCAGGCUGCAACUCGCCUGCACGAAGUCGGAAUUGCUAGUAAUCGUGGAUCAGCAUGCCACGGUGAAUACGUUCCCGGGCCUUGUACACACCGCCCGUCACACCAUGAGAGCCGGGGGGACCCGAAGUCGGUAGUCUAACCGCAAGGAGGACGCCGCCGAAGGUAAAACUGGUGAUUGGGGUGAAGUCGUAACAAGGUAGCCGUAGGAGAACCUGCGGCUG